GACGAACGCUGGCGGCGUGCUUAACACAUGCAAGUCGAACGGACAGGCCUGCAGCUUGCUGCGGGUACUCUAGUGGCGAACGGGUGAGUAACACGUGGGUAAUCUGCCUUUCACUUUGGGAUAAGCUUGGGAAACUGGGUCUAAUACCGGAUAGGACAGUUGUUUACUGUCAGUUGUGGAAAGUUUUUUCGGUGCUAGAUGAGCUCGCUGCCUAUCAGCUUGUUAGUGGGGUAAUGGCCUACCAAGGCUUCGACGGGUAGCCGGCCUGAGAGGGUUGACGGCCACAUUGGUACUGAGGUACGGAGCAGACUCCUACGUGCGGCAGCAGUGGGGAAUAUUGCACAAUGGGCGGAAGCCUGAUGCAGCGAUGCCGGGUGGGGGAUGAAGGCCUUCGGGUUGUAAACUACUUUCGACAGGGACGAAGCUUUUGUGACGGUACCUAUACAAGAAGCACCGGCUAACUACGUG
rnacentral:rRNA from 1 species